CUCAGAAUUAAUAAUUAGCUCACAAUCUCGGGGCUACAAAUACAUGUUUUCAGGGACAUCAGCAAAACCCUCUUAAUCAAACGAACACCCCAAAACCCUGCUUUAUUCUUCCGUUUUUGCACAAGGCAGCUGGAAUCCAGGUUCAAAUAAUUAUCUGGCCAUUCUGUCUUCGCAAGGGUCCUUUUCCCUUUUGGGAGAAGGGAGGAAAGGGUGGAAGCAGCUUCCACUCACUCCAGCUCGGGCUUGGAUCAGCUCCCUGGGCGUCGCGAAGCCCGCCCCGGUGCCACCCACGCGGCCAUUUCCGCCGCAGAGGCCUAGACUGCGCCGCCGGCUCACGUAGAGUCCAGCGGACCAUACGGCUAGCUCUGGCGGCGCCAGCUCUGCUCUCCUCCGGUCACCAGGGGGCGCCAGAAACAAUGGCGUAUCCCGAAAGGGACGGCGGCUACGUGACUAGGGGGUCACGCGCAGGGUCGUGGGGGACCGCCUGGGAUUCCCGGACGGCUGCGAGGAGGGAGCGGCGAAGUGCCGAGCUGGCUCCGGCUGCUUUCCUCCCUCCACCGCCUGCUCGUUUCGACGCGCGCGGGCGGGACAGUGAGGCUGCAGCGGCGAAAGCGACUAAAGUCUGGGAGCAGCUGCGUGAGCUUUCCGGUUACUGGGAGGCCCCGGGAACAGACACCUCACCCUGACAUUGUGGCAGGGUGGGAAAACAUGUAAGAAUGGAGGCUCCCCCCUCCCUUGCAGGUGCCGCUCAAGAACCACUCUCUCCAAGAUGUUUUCCUGGAUUUCCUCAGCCUAAAAUAAUCCCUCUUUUUCCUGGGAGUGUUGGGCAGUGCUCAGAAGAGGUUUUUGGGGUCAGAGAUGUAAGGACUUCUUUGACUGGCUUCUCCCAACAGAAACAGAUUCCAGCUGCGGAGCAAGGGUUGUCUGGAACCCAAUCCACAACAUCUUCAAGGAGAAGCAGCAGCAGACACGGAUGCGUAAUUGGUCUUGUACUUCCAGUCUUGGCAAGAUGGCAUAGACUCAUUUCUCCCUGCCUCUCCCAGCAUCAGAAUCAUCCAUCUGGACUAAGGGAUUCCAGAAGACCUCCUCAGAAAUGCAGAUGUGUUACUUAUGAGGAUUUUCCAUGAUGAAGUUUGGCUCUGUGGAUUAGAGUGAUACCUUUGGAUUCGAGAUGUGUGAAAGGUCUGGAAUGGUGCUCAGUGCUAAGAAAUAGGAACUCCGCCUUACAUUAAGAGGUAGGAUAGGGGAUGACCCUGCUCAGCCAGGUGUCAGCUCAGGAGAUGCCGGGAUUCAGAGAGGUGGGCCAGAAGGGGAGGGAAGUACCAAAGGAAGAGUUGGGGCAUGCUGAGUACAAACUUUUCCUGUUUCACAAAUAUAUCUGGAUCAUGCCCUGGGGGGGCCCCUAUUGAGUUGGAUAGCUAGAUGCUUGUUGGCUUCUACCUUAUCCACCUACCAGAAAAAGACUAAGUAAAAGCUUUGAGAUUCGAUUCAGUAAAAAAGAGUUGAUGAAUCCAGUGUACUUAGCCAAAACGAGGGAUAAGGAUGCCUUCUGGUUGCAGGACAGCUUUACUCUUUGUUUAGUUUCCUCUUCUUUUGUGUUUCCCAUUUCUCCUCAAACGCAAGCCAUCACCAAGGUCCUAAGAAACUCGGUUGUCAAGUAUUGAACACUGACAGGUUCUAACACGAAGGAAGACAGUCUCAGGUGGCAAGAAUUAACCUGGAGCUGAGGGCAUUAAGACAAUCUUUGCACAUUGCAUCCAAAAGUAAGCUUCCCUUCUGGCCAGACAUGGUGGCUCGUGCCCAUAAUCCCAGCAAUUUGGGAGGUUGAGGCGGGUGGAUCACUUGAGGUCAGGAGUUUAAAACCAGCCUGGCCAACAUGGCAAAACUCCUUCUCUAUGAAAAAUAUAAAAAUUAACCGGGCAUGGUGGCACGCACCUGUAAUUAGGCACUUCAACCCAGGAGGCGGAGGUUGCAGUGAGCUGAGAUUGCGCCACUGCACUCCAUCCUGAGCGACAGCACAAGAAUAUGUCUGAAAAAGAGAAAAAGAAAAAAGAAAGCUUUGCUCUGCCUGGGGUUAACCAGGGCCAUGGUCUUUUUCACUAAUGUUAUUUUAUAGCUCCCCUCCCCACUACAGACGUAUGCAACUAAUGAAGUAAGGGUGUGUAUGUGCAGCAACACAGCUAAUUUCCAUCAAUUGGCCAAUGCUUAACAAUUGACAAGUUAGUAGAUUGUGCUUGAGUUGACACUUUUACAAUCCAAUGCUUCAUAAAACAGAUGACUGCUUGUUUGAUUCACAUGUAAGUGGUUCUUAGUGCAUCAAAAGGAUGUUUAAAACAACAAAAGAAUAAUCAAAAGCAUAAUUUAUCACCUCGAUUCUUAACAGAUUCAAACCGUAUAAUGAUAGCAGCCUUUGGUUACAUAAGCAAAAUGACAGAUUGUCAGCAGAGGUAUUGAGGCAGGCACCGUCCCAUUUCUGAUGGAAUCUGGCCAUGACACCUGUAUACCAAGCAGGUGUGUUUAGGUGUGACCCAGGAAGUGGAAGAUCUGAGCAUUAAGAUAUUCCAGAUCUUUUCAAAUUAGUAGUCAUAAAGGACGUGCUAUUUGAGAAAGAGCAGGAAUAAAAUACACUUAGGAAGCUAGUAAAGCUUCUGAAACCCAAAUGAGAAUGGGAAAGAAAUGCAUCUUUAGUGCUGAUGCAGUCAGGAGCCUUUCAUGUUGAGGUGUGAACAUUUUUAGCUGGGGUAGCAACCUCUCCUCCAUUUUUGUUGAUCUAAUUUUCCAUUUCAGUUGCUUCUUCUCUGUACCCAGCCCCACUGUGGGACUACACGCUGAUUAUCUCAUGGUGGUUAUACCAUCUGCUGAAAAAGCUGGCAGCUGGGCAAUCCCCAUCUUCCAAAAUUGUGGCCUGCCUCUACCUGCCCUGGUUCAAGAAACAGAAGGGAGUGUGUUGACCCCUAUAUGCUGCUCCAGGGACUGAAUCAGCUUCAGUUUGGAGCAGAAACCUAGAACUUAACCCGUUCGCCAAGUGGGAGCCUCUGCCUGUGGGUUUCAGUCCUGAGGUUUUGGGACUCAGCCUAUGUCUACACAUUGCCUAAGUGGUGGACCUGAUGACACGAUAAACAUGGUGAAAGUAGUUUGAUAAGAGUACCAGGCAUGUGAGGUUCAUGAUCCUAGGUCUGAUGUAAAGGAACUAGUUAAUUUCUUGGCCACUACUUUUACCUCUAUCAGUAGCCACCUGGGUACACAUGAUAGCUGUUUGGUCACAAGAGGGUGAGAGACUAUAAAUGAUUCAGAAUAAUCCCUUCCUCAAUCCUAGCAAAAGAACUGAAAGGACAUGGCUUAUUCAUAGAUCAGUUGUAUCAUCUUUUCAUAGAAAGGACAGGCCAGGGACAGGGAUUCAUGUCUGUAAUCCCAGAACUCUGGGAGGCUGAGGCAGGAGGAUUGCUUGAUGCCGGGAAUUCAAGACCAGCCUGGGCAAUAUAGCAGACCCCAUCUAUUAAAAAAAAAAUAGCCAGGUGUAUGGCCAGAUGCAGUGGCUCACACCUGUAAUCCCAGCAUGUUGGGAGGCUGAGAGGCAGAUCACCUGAGGUCAGGAGUUCGAGACCAGUGUGGCCAACAUGUGAAACCUUGUCUCUACUCAAACUACAAAAAUUAGCCGAGUGUGGUUGUACGCACCUGUAAUCCCAGCUACUCAGGAGGCUGAGGCAGGAGACUUGCUUGAACCUGGGGGACAGAUGUUGCAGUGAGCUGAGAUUGAGCCACUGCACUCCAGCCCAGGCCACAGAUCGAGACUCUGUCUUUAAAAACAACAACGACAAAAAAAUAAAAAAAAAACAGGCCAGGCAUGGUGGCCCAUGCCUGUAAUCCCAACACUUUAGGAGGUCUAGGCAGGCAGAUCACAAGGUCAGGAGAUCAAGACCAUCCUGGCUAACAUGGCGAAACCUCGUCUCUACUAAAAAUACAAAAAUUACCUGGGUGUGGUGGUGCAUGCCUGUAGUCCCAGCUACUCAGAAGGCUGAGGCAGGCAAAUCACUUGAACCUGGGAGGUGGAGGUUGCAGUGAGCUGAGAUUGUGUCACUGCACUCCGGCCUGGUGACACAGCGAGACUCUGUCUCAAAAUAAAUAAAUAGCCAGAUGUGGUGGUGCAUACCUAUGUCCCAACUACUUAGGAGGCUGAGGCAGGAGGAUUGCUUGAGCCCAGGAGUUUGAGGUUACAGUGAGCUGAGAUCAUGCCAUUGCACUCCAACCUGGGUGACAAAGCAAGACUCUAUCUCAAAAAAGAAAAAAGAAAGGCAGCAUGAUCUUUAUUCACAACUUCUCUCUAAAAGUAUUCUUAAACUUCAGAAUAGAAGCAGGGAAAUAGGUGUUACAUGGAAAAUCAUUCCAAGCUGGCAGUAUUAAAGAAGGUGAGCAGGGUACACUGUCUCUAGACUAAUUUCCCUCCAAUUAAGCUUUGAAGGUUUGGUAAGAAUAGUUGGGGAGUUGAGAACAGUAGCUAUACACCGUUUCUUUUACAUAUAUUAAAAUACUCUGGGUUGGGCAUGGUGGCAGUGGCUCAGAGCUGUAAUCCCAGCAUCUUGGGAAGCUGAGGUGGGCAGAUCACCUGAGUUCAGGAGUUCGACACCAGCCUGGGCAACAUGGCAAAACCUUGUCUCUACUAAAACUACAAAAAUUAGGCUAGGUGUGGUGGCCCACGCCUGUAAUCCCAGCUCUUUGGGAGGCCGAGGUGGGCAGAUCAUGAGGUCAGGAGUUUGAGACCAGCCUGACCAACAUGGUGAAACUCCAUCUCUACUAAAAAUACAAAAAUUAGCUGGGUAUAAUGGCACAUGCUUGUAAUCCUAGCUACUCAGGAGGCUGAGGGCAGAAGAAUCACUUGAGUCCGGGAGGCGGAGGUUGCAGUGAGCUGAGAUUGUGCCAUUGCACUCCAGACUGGGUGACACAGUGAGACUCUGUCACACACACACACACAAAUUAGCAGUGUGUGGUGGCACACACCUGUAGUCCCAGCUACUCGGGAGGCUGAGGCAGGAGAAUCGCUUGGCCCUGGGAGUUGGAGGUUGCAGUGAGCCGAGAUCAUGCCACUGUGCUCCAAUGUGAGUGGCAGAGUGAGGCCUUGUCUCAUAAAAAAAAAAAUUCUUAACACUUUAUGACAAGUGUGAAAGAAGUAAUUAAGAUAAAAUGAUAUUCACUAUCUCCUCAAAAAUUUGCAGGAUUAGGGAGUAAACCUUGAUUUGAUUAGGAAAAAAGGUGGUUUGAGUUUCCCUCUUUUGAACCAUUGAUUUGAUCUCAAGGGGACACAGCCUUACUGUUGUACAGCUGAGCACCGAUAUUAACAGCAAGAAGUCAAUCACAUUUUCCCCGAUGACUCUCACUUCCUUUUACUUACUAUAUUUUGUGACUGGGUUUUUAGGGUUUUCUUCUAUUGUCAUGACCUUGAAAAGAAUAUGGUCAGCUUCUACCCAUUUGUAUUAGUGUAGGAGAGCAGUGAUACAGCUACAGGAAAAGCACAGAUAAACCAAAUGUCAAAGAAUCAUAGGCUGUUCCAACUGGAAGAGCCAUAGAAAUAAAUGAAGCAGGCUCAUCACUUUUAUGUUUGGAGAAACAGAAACCCAGAGAGAGAAGGUGGCAAAUCUCAUGAUUCCCAUUCCUGUUUUCUUUCCAGAAUAUGAUAUAUGACUUUAUUGCCACAUACUUUCCAUUCUAAUUAUGAUUUGCACAGGUUAUUAGUUGGCAUUCCUGGGAUGUGUGUAACCAAUUUGAUGUUAAAAAAAAAUAGAUCCAGAGCCAUACAAGUGGUAGGGAAAGGUAAACUCAAUUAAAGAUUCAUCCUAAACUAUCAGAUGCAGAGUUGACUCUAGCUUUCAUUGUGUUCCCAGCUCCAUCCAUGUUGUCACGAAUGGCAGAAUUUCUCCCUUCUUCUUCUUCUUU
ensembl:lncRNA